UACGAAGGGGGCUAGCGUUGCUCGGAAUCACUGGGCGUAAAGCGCACGUAGGCGGCUUUUUAAGUCAGGGGUGAAAUCCUGGAGCUCAACUCCAGAACUGCCUUUGAUACUGAGGAUCUUGAGUCCGGGAGAGGUGAGUGGAACUGCGAGUGUAGAGGUGAAAUUCGUAGAUAUUCGCAAGAACACCAGUGGCGAAGGCGGCUCACUG
rnacentral:rRNA from 1 species